rnacentral:rRNA from 1 species
UACGAAGGGGGCUAGCGUUGCUCGGAAUCACUGGGCUUAAAGGGCGCGUAGGCGGGUGCUCAAGUCCGGGGUGAAAUCCUCCAGCUCAACUGGAGAACUGCCUCGGAUACUGGGUGCCUCGAGGGUGGUAGGGGUACGCGGAACUAUCGGUGGAGCGGUGAAAUGCGUUGAUAUCGAUAGGAACUCCGGUGGCGAAGGCGGCAUACUGGACCACAUCUGACGCUGAGGCGCGAAAGCCAGGGGAGCAAACGGG